AGAUAGGGACAUUCGGGCGAAUGACCCAUUCUUAUAACCUCAGGGCCCAAAUGUAAAUGGACCUGAAUUUUGAUGGUAUUAUAUAAACCAACCCCGUAAAACCCUAGCCUCCUCAUAGACGCUGGGGACUCUUAACACAUCAACUCAGGUGGAGUAAGAAUAAUCAAAGGAGAAGAUGAGCAAAGUAAGUACAAAGGGUGGAAAGAAGAAGAGAGCAACAUUUGUGAUUCAUUGUGCAAAGCCAGUGGAUGAUAAAAUCAUGGAAAUUGCCUCAUCGGAGAAGUUUCUGCAAGAACGUAUCAAAGUUGGAGGAAAAGCAGGGGCUCUAGGUGACACUGUCACUCUCACUCGUGACAAGACCAAGAUUACCGUCACCUCCGACAACACUUUCUCUAAGCGAUGUGCUGCCACCACAGGAGUUUUGCCCACAUGAACACUUAUCAUGCCCAAAUUGCUUACAUGUCGAGCGCUUGCGAGAGUAAGUCUUUUCGCUAAUAUCUAUUUGAUUGUGAUAACGGGUUAACUUGUUUUUUCCCAAUUUACGGAUAUAGUUUUUGUUCGCAAUCAUAGAAAACGGCGGCUGGCCAAUAAGCUUGAUCACCAAGGGGACGGAAGUGGCAGGAAUAUGCUUCAAGGUAUUUUACGACCUUAUAUUCCUCCGCCACAUAAUCAGUUACAUUUCUGGCCAUUCUCUCAAAGCACUUGACUACAUGAGAACAUGGCAUGUGGUACGUUACUACUUACCACAAAUGCAUGAUUUUGUACGCUCAGUAACGAUAUAUUUGUUUCCUCCUUUGCCGUCGCAAUAACCCGUUCUAACUUCAUACACUCGUUAAGCGACGUCAUACUCGGUCAUUUGGUGACCCUCUGCUUUCCUUCUAUGGUGCUCCAUCUUUUUGUAGGGCUUUGGCAUCCAUGUUCUGUCCUCGGCUAAUAUAGCUCUGGCCUGCCUUGUCCUAUCCGUAAAUCGCUUCACGACCUGCCUGGAAGUUAGUCUUACCAUUGCGGUGACAGGCAGUCCUCGAUUUGAGCAGUCCAUUGAAAGACUCCGAGCUGUUCGUUGUGAGCAUGCCCUAUCUCCUUCCUCCAUCAGCAUAAAGUGUCCAUUUUUUAACUUCUAAUUUCAUCAACCAAACAUAUGCCUCUUCACUCACUUCCCUUACCAGCUCCAUUUUUGCAGACCAUUUUCUUUGUUGAUGUUGCAUCGCAGCCCCCACAUCAAUUUGUUUACAGUGCCAUUUCCAAACCUUGUUUGCAAAUUAUUAGUCUUUGAGUGUCUUAAACAAUAUCGAUAGUAAGCAUGUGGAGGCUGCCACCCUUCCAGAGUACGCAUAUUGUGCAAUAUGCCUUAUGACGAUCCGAUAGGACACAUAUGCCCUGACGACCCGUAAUAACAUGAGUUUGUAGAUGAGUCAAGAACAUCCCCUAUAUCUCGUUGCUCUCGUUGGCGGCAAUUGCGAAAGCAAGAGGGAAUAUUGACCUAUUGGCAUCCAUACCUACUGUAAUUAGGAGCUUAAUGUCAUAUCGGUCAUAUACAUGCGUCCCAUCUAUCAAUAUCACAUUCCGGCAAUGAGCAAAACCAUCAAUACGUGGUUUGAAUGCCCAAAAGACGAAGUUGAAAAUUCUGCCCUCUAAAUGCUGCCACUGUACAAUAGUGCCAGGAUUAACAUGUUUUAGAGCCGCCAUAUACCUCGGCAACGCCUGAAAAUAGGAUUCCCAAGUUUCAAAGGUCAUCUCAAAAGCAUGUCUACGCCCGAGAAAUCCCUUUCUCUUGCUUAUGAUUUUAUCAUAUUUUGAGUGGACCAUGUUAAUACAAGUUUUGAUAGGCAUCCUACAUAAGUUUAUACAAACAACAUUUAGCAAUGAUAAUUUAAUUGCUAUAAGAUAUAUAAUGUAAACGGUCAGAUAAGUUACCUUGGAGUUUCCUCAAUGUGUUUAAGUAACAGAUGAGCAAUCAUGUUUAUAUCUAAAUUAAAAUGAUCUGCUCGGCUUUGUCCCAUAUCACAAGUAUGCUUUGGGUGAAAUUUUGUGAAUUCUCACAGACCAUCAGGCUUAGCAAUUCCCCGAAGCAACCACCGAUAGCCUUGAGUAUGUCGCUUACAAAUCAGCUGUCAUACCGAUUUGUUUGAGUCAUCAACCUUAAACUCCCUCAUAUCCUUUAUAAAAUACAUUCUGACAGCCUGUUGCAACAUCUUUUUUGAUGUGAACUGCAUUCCCUUUGCAAGGACGCAUUCAUCAGUCAUGAGAUUUUUUGGUUCAAUCCACGUUUUUUGGCGACUUUAAUCAUCAUCUCUUGUGAAGACAAAUGCAUCCUCACGACCUUGGAGACUGUCAAGAUAUGAAAUAUAGUCAGAAUGUCAUUGCAUUGAAUGGGCUGUCAGGAAUUGGGUUUUCCGCCAUCAGAGGUGGUACGUGGUGGUGAAUUGGUUCUGGUUGCUUCUGAGGACUAAAAUGCGUAUCUUCUUCAUCCCCUUCACUAUCUUCAUCAUCAGUUACCUCUGCAUUAUUUGCAGGUUCAUCGCCAUCACUCUCUGAUGUAUCCACAUAACUUGGACAAUCAACGCCAUCUAAGAAAGACCUCCUCCUACACGAUAAAAAACAUAUGUUAAAUUCCAAAUUCAAAUAUAUAUAUAUAUAUAUAUAUAUAUAUAUAUAUAUAUAUAUAUAUAUAUAACAUCAAGGUGGUGAAUCUACACAUAUUGAUAAUGAGCAUGGUGUGGAGAAUGAUCAACUCUAUCAAACUGAGAGAACUGCCUUUCAUCCACAAUUGGUACCACUGGCGAGUUUUGAUAAUAAUCAGCUGCACCGAACUGAGAAUUAUUAUAAUAAUCAGCUCCACUGAACUGAGAAUUAUUAUAAUAAUCAGCUCCAUUGAACUGAGAAUUUUGAUAAUAAUGAGUUGCUCCACUAAAUUGAGAUGAUUGCCAAUAUUACUCGUAUCAGGUCUAUAACCCCUACAAAGAUUUAAAAAUGGUUAUUUUACCAAUACAUACAAUAAACACGUGCUACUGCACAAAAUAAUAAUAUAAGAAUGCAUAUUUACCAAGUUUGAUUUAAUUGUUGGGUAAGAUUUUCCAGCGGCACCUGGCCACUCAAAAUACCCCCGUAAGAACUAAAAUCUUCAUAC